rnacentral:pre_miRNA from 1 species
ACUCUUUCCCUGUUGCACUACUGUGGGCUACUGGGAAGCAGUGCAAUGAUGAAAGGGCAU